rnacentral:lncRNA from 1 species
CUGAAUUUGAUGUGAUUAACUUAAUAAGGCCUAGAUCUCCAAGAAGUAGAAAGCGAUCUGGAGGAUUAUCUAUUUAUAUAAAAAAAUAUAUUCGAAAAGGGGUGAAAUUUCUUGAACAUGAAACCAGUGAUUACAUCUGGUUAAAAUUAGAUAAAAUUUUUUUUGGAAUAUCAAGACAUAUUUAUAUAUGUUUCCUUUAUGACCCACCAGCGGAAUCAACCUAUAGUCGCCAAUUAGAGGCUGACAUUCUUUCACUAAUUGAGAAAGAUAUUUCUAAACACUCAAAAGAUGGAGAUAUUAUAUUGGCAGGGGAUUUUAACGCCAGGACUGGAGAUGAACAUGACCUAAUUCAAGGCGAUAUUUCAAAUCACACACCCCUUUUUAAUUCAUACAGCCCUGAUUUAGAUUUACCCUCUAGAAGUAGUCAAGAUAAUAUACUUUCUCAAAGGGGGAAAUAUUUAAUUGAUUUAUGUAUUCAGGUAAAUUAAGAAUUCUAAAUGGUAGAACAUUUGGAGAUACUUUUGGACAGUACACCUCACAUCAACCUAAUGGUAGUAGCGUCAUAGAUUAUUUCAUUGUAUCUGAGUAUUUAGUAAAAUAUAUUUCAUUUUUUCAUGUACAUGAUUUUAUUGGAACAAUGUCUGACCAUUGUCAAAUAUCUAUGAUGUUAAAUGUAAAAUACUCUGUAGAAAAUGAUUGUAAACAUGGUGGUUGUCCUCUUGAACCUCUUCCACCUUCAUACAUAUGGAUGGAUAAUUCUUCGGUGGAAUUCCAAAAUGUGUUGUCCUCAUCAGAAAUUCAGAAUGAUCUGUCCAAUUUCAUGAAAUUACAUGUUGAUCAAACAGAAUCAGGAAUCAAUUCUUUAAUUAAUAACUUUAAUCAGGUAAUUUAUGAUGUGGCAAACAAAAGUCUAAGGUUUUAAAAAAAUCUUAACAAGAAAAAGAAAAAACCUAAUUGGGAAAAUCUAUCUCUAUCAGUCCUAAAAAAGCAUCUCAUUGAUAAUUAUAGAUUAUCGUUGAUCAUCUCAACGAGAUUGAUUUUCUCGCUUGAGCCGGGACGGCGGACGCGAGAAAUGCAAUCGAGUUGAGAUGACCAAUGAUAAUCUGUUUAUCGCUAUUUUACCUAUGACGAGGUUGUCAAUUUCAUGUCAAUUUCGUUAGCAACGCCACGCGCCUCCUUAGUUUCUAGCGAUAAUUUUCCAUCUCAAGCGAGUAGCAUGAUAUGAAAA